rnacentral:rRNA from 1 species
GGCCUACCAAGGCGACGACGGGUAGCCGACCUGAGAGGGUGACCGGCCACACUGGGACUGAGACACGGCCCAGACUCCUACGGGAGGCAGCAGUGGGGAAUAUUGCACAAUGGGCGGAAGCCUGAUGCAGCGACGCCGCGUGAGGGAUGACGGCCUUCGGGUUGUAAACCUCUUUCAGCAGGGACGAAGCGUGAGUGACGGUACCUGCAGAAGAAGCACCGGCUAACUACGUGCCAGCAGCCGCGGUAAUACGUAGGGUGCGAGCGUUGUCCGGAAUUACUGGGCGUAAAGAGUUCGUAGGCGGUUUGUCGCGUCGUUUGUGAAAACCCGGGGCUCAACUUCGGGCUUGCAGGCGAUACGGGCAGACUUGAGUGUUUCAGGGGAGACUGGAAUUCCUGGUGUAGCGGUGAAAUGCGCAGAUAUCAGGAGGAACACCGGUGGCGAAGGCGGGUCUCUGGGCAGUAACUGACGCUGAGGAGCGAAAGCGUGGGGAGCGAACAGGAUUAGAUACCCUGGUAGUCCACGCCGUAAACGGUGGGCGCUAGGUGUGGG